GACGAACGCUGGCGGCGUGCCUAAUACAUGCAAGUCGAACGCAGUGGGGAUGGGUGAGUAACACGUGGGUAACCUCCCAUCAGAGGGGAUAAACCUUGGAAACAGGUGCUAAACCGAUACUGAUGGAUGGACCCGCGGUGCAUUGGCUAGUUGGUGAGGUAACGGCGCACCAGGGCAACGAUGCAUAGCUGACCUGAGAGGGUGAACGGCCACACUGGAACUGAGACACGGCCCAGACUCCUACGGGAGGCAGCAGUAGGGAAUCGUCGGCAAUGGACGAAAGUCUGACCGAGCAACGCCGCGUGAGUGAAGAAGGUUUUCGGAUCGUAAAACUCUUUUGGUAGAGAAGCGGUAUCUAACCAGAAAGCCACGGCUAACUACGUGCCAGCAGCCGCGGUAAUAC
rnacentral:rRNA from 1 species